rnacentral:rRNA from 1 species
GAUGAACGCUGGCGGCGUGCCUAAUACAUGCAAGUCGAGCGAACGGACGAGAAGCUUGCUUCUCUGAUGUUAGCGGCGGACGGGUGAGUAACACGUGGAUAACCUACCUGUAAGACUGGGAUAACUUCGGGAAACCGGAGCUAAUACCGGAUAAUAUUUUGAACCGCAUGGUUCAAAAGUGAAAGACGGUCUUGCUGUCACUUAUAGAUGGAUCCGCGCUGCAUUAGCUAGUUGGUAAGGUAACGGCUUACCAAGGCAACGAUGCAUAGCCGACCUGAGAGGGUGAUAGGCGACACUGGAACUGAGACACGGUCCAGACUCCUACGGGAGGCAGCAGUAGGGAAUCUUCCGCAAUGGGCGAAAGCCUGACGGAGCAACGCCGCGUGAGUGAUGAAGGUCUUCGGAUCGUAAAACUCUGUUAUUAGGGAAGAACAUAUGUGUAAGUAACUGUGCACAUCUUGACGGUACCUAAUCAGAAAGCCACGGCUAACUACGUG